GACAGAGGGUGCAAACGUUGCUCGGAAUCACUGGGCGUAAAGGGUGCGUAGGCGGGUCUUUAAGUCAGGGGUGAAAUCCUGGAGCUCAACUCCAGAACUGCCUUUGAUACUGAGGAUCUUGAGUUCGGGAGAGGUGAGUGGAACUGCGAGUGUAGAGGUGAAAUUCGUAGAUAUUCGCAAGAACACCUGUGGCGAAGGCGGCUCACUGGCCCGAUACUGACGCUGAGGCACGAAAGCGUGGGGAGCAAACAGG
rnacentral:rRNA from 1 species